UGUAUGUUAUCGUUUGGAAGUGAAAGGUAACCGAAGUGAGGGUUUUCCCUUUAAAUUAACCAAAUGGCUACCUUGACAACGAUCAUUACCCAGCAAGGCGUCUGCUUAAGUUGACCAGAAUGCUUCCUAGUCAGGAAGCAUCGUGGUGAUCUACAGCAAGAUCCAACGUUGACAAAUGGAGAAAACAUGUAAAAAUGGUGAACAUUCUCAGGAAUGACCACAAAAGAACCAAGAACUACAUCUAACCCACUGCAGAUAAGUUAAGGUAAAGGUUCGGUCACCUUCCUUGCAGCGACGCUCCCCUCCGGAGAUCUUCAGAAACCUAAAGGUUUACCAGGCGAAGAGCAGAGAUUGGGUCCU